CACGUAGGGGGCGAGCGUUGUCCGGAAUUACUGGGCGUAAAGGGCGCGCAGGCUGUUAUGCGAGUCUGCUGUGAAAUGUACCGGCUCAACCGGUGCCUUGCGGCGGAUACUGCAUAGCUGGAGUACUGGAGAGGGAAGUGGAAUUCCCGGUGUAGCGGUGAAAUGCGUAGAUAUCAGGAGGAACACCAAUGGCGAAGGCAGGUCUCUGGGCAGUUACUGACGCUGAGGAGCGAAAGCAUGGGUAGCGAACAGGAUUA
rnacentral:rRNA from 1 species